rnacentral:rRNA from 1 species
CGAUGUGAUAAUUUCUACGUCGUUGACCAUCUCGGGGCUGACCUAGUCAGUUUCAAUAGGAGUCUGCUUCUAACCGUCUCUUGACUGAGACUAGCGACUUGUGCGCUAACUUUUGGCUUGACCUCAAAUCAGGUAGGACUACCCGCUGAACUUAAGCAUAUCAAUAAGCGGAGGAAAAGAAACUAACAAGGAUUCCCCUAGUAACUGCGAGUGAAGCGGGAAAAGCUCAAAUUUAAAAUCUGGCGGUCUCCGGCCGUCCGAGUUGUAAUUUAGAGAAGCGUUAUCCGUGCUGGACCGUGUAUAAGUCUCCUGGAAUGGAGCGUCAUAGAGGGUGAGAAUCCCGUCUUUGACACGGACUACCAGUGCAUUGUGAUGCGCUCUCGACGAGUCGAGUUGUUUGGGAAUGCAGCUCAAAAUGGGUGGUAAAUGCCAUCUAAAGCUAAAUAUUGGCGAGAGACCGAUAGCGAACAAGUACCGUGAGGGAAAGAUGAAAAGAACUUUGGAAAGAGAGUUAAACAGUACGUGAAAUUGUCGAAAGGGAAACGGUUGCAGUCAGUCGCGUCCGCCGGGGAUCAACCUUGCUUUUGCUUGGCGUAUUUCCCGGUGGAUGGGUCAGCAUCAGUUUUGACCGCAGUUGAAAGGCUGGAGGAAUGUGGCACCUUCGGGUGUGUUAUAGCCUCCUGUCAUAUGCUGCGGUUGGGACUGAGGAACUCAGCACGCCGAAAGGCCGGGAUUCGUCCACGUUCGUGCUUAGGAUGCUGGCAUAAUGUCUGUAACCGACCCGUCUUGAAACACGGACCAAGGAGUCUAACAUGCACGCGAGUGUUUGGGUGGCAAA